rnacentral:rRNA from 1 species
GACGUAGGGGGCGAGCGUUGUCCGGAUUUAUUGGGCGUAAAGAGCGUGUAGGCGGCUUUGCAAGUCCGUUGUGAAAACUCGAGGCUCAACCUCGAGACGCCGGUGGAAACUGCAAAGCUAGAGUCCGGAAGAGGAGAGUGGAAUUCCUGGUGUAGCGGUGAAAUGCGCAGAUAUCAGGAAGAACACCCGUGGCGAAGGCGGCUCUCUGGGACGGUACUGACGCUGAGACGCGAAAGCGUGGGGAGCGAACAGG